UCUAUAAUUCAGUUUAUUUUCAGGUAAAGCAAGCAUUAUCAGUCUUGAUAAAAUAUGGUUUUGUGACUUUUGAAAGAGGUAAAAUACCUACAAUCGCAGAAUAUAAAUUUGUUCCUACAAAAGUCACACUUAUGUUAAGAUUUCCAAGGUAUAUACUCCAAAUCAAGAACAGAGUGGAUGAGGAAUCAAGUCUGUUGCUGGAGGAGCUCUUAAGGUUUGGUUUUGACACAGCAACAAACAUCAUCCUAAGGGUGGCCACUAGAAUUAAGGAAGAGAAGAUGUCACUGAACGGAG